UACGUGGGGCCCAAACGUUAUUCGGAAUUACUGGGCUUAAAGAGUUCGUAGGCGGCAUGAUAAGUAGGGUGUGAAAGCCCUCGGCUCAACUGAGGAAUUGCGCUCUAAACUGUCGUGCUCGAGGAAUCUAGAGGUGAGCGGAACUGAUGGUGGAGCGGUGAAAUGCGUUGAUAUCAUCAGGAACACCGGUGGCGAAGGCGGCUCACUGGGGAUUUUCUGACGCUGAGGAACGAAAGCCAGGGGAGCAAACGGG
rnacentral:rRNA from 1 species